rnacentral:lncRNA from 1 species
CUCCGGGCCGGCUGGAUGGGUCAUUAAUUACUGAUCGAUUACUGAUUAAUUACGGAUUAAUUGCUGAUUAAUUAUUGCCUCAGGGCCCGCGAGCGGGGUUCACUUCCUAUUGGCUCUGGCGCCUGUCAAUCAAAGCUCUCAGCCAAUCACAACUCUCAUAGUGGCGGGGGGGUGGGGUAUCGCCUCAGGGGGCAGCGGCGCGCCGUUCCUGCUCCGGGCCCUGUCCCGAGGCCGCGGCGCUGCCGGGGCGGUUUCCGGAGCUUUUCCCGGGCGGGGGUCGCGCUCCCGGUGCCGCCGUUAACAAAGUCUGGGGGUCCCCGGUGCCCUCCGGUAAUUCCGGGUGCUCAAAGCUCCCGCGUUCCCGCCUCUGUGGCGGUGGUGUUUCUAAUUGGUCCGCGCGGCUGUCACUCAGCGCUCGCAGCCAAUCACACACGGAUGUUAGACGCUCCCGCCUUUGCGGUAACAGCACUUCUCAUUGGCCAGCGCGUCUGUCACUCACCGCCCUCAGCCAAUCCCGGCGGGGCAGGGGCGGGACCCCGGAGCUCCCACAGAAGUCGCGGCCAUUCCCGUUUUUGGGUUUAAUUCCCGGAUUUUCGGUUUAAUCCUCAAUUUUCGUGCUUAAUUCCCGGAUUUUUGGUUUUAAUUCCCAGCUUUGAGGUUUAAUUCCCGCCUUUUGUGUUUAAUUCCCUUUUUAUUUUGUUAAUUUCCCAUUUUUUUGGGAUAUAAUUCCCCCCUUUUUUUUGUUUAAUCCACAAUUUUUGAGUUUAAUUCCCAAUUUUUGUGAAUUUCAGGAUCCACAACCCCACCCCCAAAAUCCAGGCUAUUUUCAUUUCCUCCCAUUCCCAUUUUUCCCCCCAAGUAAAAAGAAUUCCAAACUAUUUCCAGACCAAAAAAAAAACCUCGCCUUGAUCAGGAAUUUUUUUCUCCAACUGCCAAAUUCCAAAAAAAUUCCUGGGAAAAAAAAAACCGAGAAACUCCUGAAAAAACUCCCAAGAAAUCCACCUGGAAAGCUGCCGGGAAAGGCUAAAAAUCCGGGAUCCUCCUUGGCCGGGGGCGGUGGAUUCAUGAUUUGGGGGAUUUGGGGGAUUUUGGGGGGAUUUUGGGGUAAUUUUGGGGAUUUUUUUGGGAACUUUUUUGGGAAUUUUGGGGGAACUUUCUGGGAUUUUUUUGGGGAACUUUUUGGGAAUUUUUUGGGAAUUUUUUGGGAACUUUUUGGGAAUUUUUUUGGGGAUCAGAGGCUGACCUGGGCUCGCUCCGCUCCUGCGCUUCCCGGUACAGGAACACCAGACUCAGGAAAUGCACCAGGAAUUGCAACAACACCGUCAGCACCGUGUACAGGUUGAAAAUGUUGGGAAGAGGCCUCUCCUUGGAAAGAGUCUUCAGGGGCUGGAAGGGUUAAAAAAAAACGGGAAUAAAAACCAGGAAUGUGGGAUGGGAUGAGCUGGA